GGGGAUUUGGCUCAGAGGUAGAGCGCUUGCCUAGCAAGCGCAAGGCCCUGGGUUCCAUCCCCAGCUCCG
rnacentral:tRNA from 1 species